UACGUAGGGUCCGAGCGUUGUCCGGAAUUACUGGGCGUAAAGAGCUCGUAGGUGGUUUGUCGCGUUGUUCGUGAAAACUCACAGCUUAACUGUGGGCGUGCGGGCGAUACGGGCAGACUGGAGUACUGCAGGGGAGACUGGAAUUCCUGGUGUAGCGGUGGAAUGCGCAGAUAUCAGGAGGAACACCGAUGGCGAAGGCAGGUCACUGGGCCGCAACUGACGCUGAGGAGCGAAAGCAUGGGGAGCGAACAGG
rnacentral:rRNA from 1 species